UAUAAGUGCAACAUAAGAUUCCGUGCCCAACCUUAAUUGUUCGUCUUAUUUGAAAAUUUUUUAUAAUUAGUAUUUUUAUUUUUAUGAGAUGACAAAACAUUAGUAGUACUUUAUGCGUGACUUAUGUUUUUAAAUUUUUUUAAAAAAAUUUUAAAUAAGACGGACGAUCAAAAUUAAACACGGUAAAUCAUGGUUGCACUUAAA
rfam:Oryza sativa Japonica Group DNA, chromosome 12, cultivar: Nipponbare, complete sequence.